GAUGAACGCCGGCGGUGUGCCUAAUACAUGCAAGUCGAACGCGUUGGCCCAAUUGAUUGACGGUGCUUGCACCUGAUUGAUUUUGGUCGCCAACGAGUGGCGGACGGGUGAGUAACACGUAGGUAACCUGCCCAGAAGCGGGGGACAACAUUUGGAAACAGAUGCUAAUACCGCAUAACAGCGUUGUUCGCAUGAACAACACUUAAAAGAUGGCUUCUCGCUAUCACUUCUGGAUGGACCUGCGGUGCAUUAGCUUGUUGGUGGGGUAACGGCCUACCAAGGCGAUGAUGCAUAGCCGAGUUGAGAGACUGAUCGGCCACAAUGGGACUGAGACACGGCCCAUACUCCUACGGGAGGCAGCAGUAGGGAAUCUUCCACAAUGGGCGCAAGCCUGAUGGAGCAACACCGCGUGAGUGAAGAAGGGUUUCGGCUCGUAAAGCUCUGUUGUUAAAGAAGAACACGUAUGAGAGUAACUGUUCAUACGUUGACGGUAUUUAACCAGAAAGUCACGGCUAACUACGUGCCAGCAGCCGCGGUAAUACGUAGGUGGCAAGCGUUAUCCGGAUUUAUUGGGCGUAAAGAGAGUGCAGGCGGUUUUCUAAGUCUGAUGUGAAAGCCUUCGGCUUAACCGGAGAAGUGCAUCGGAAACUGGAUAACUUGAGUGCAGAAGAGGGUAGUGGAACUCCAUGUGUAGCGGUGGAAUGCGUAGAUAUAUGGAAGAACACCAGUGGCGAAGGCGGCUACCUGGUCUGCAACUGACGCUGAGACUCGAAAGCAUGGGUAGCGAACAGG
rnacentral:rRNA from 1 species